UACGGAGGGUGCAAGCGUUAUCCGGAUUCACUGGGUUUAAAGGGUGCGUAGGCGGGUAAGUAAGUCCGUGGUGAAAUCUCUGAGCUUAACUCAGAAACUGCCGUGGAUGCUAUUUGCCUUGAAUAUUGUGGAGGUGAGCGGAAUAUGUCAUGUAGCGGUGAAAUGCUUAGAUAUGACAUAGAACAUCGAUUGCGAAGGCAGCUCGCUACACUAUGAUUGACACUGAGGCACGAAAGCGUGGGGAUCAAACAGG
rnacentral:rRNA from 1 species